CCUACGGGAGGCAGCAGUGAGGAAUAUUGGUCAAUGGGCGGGAGCCUGAACCAGCCAAGUCGCGUGAGGGACGACGGUCCUAUGGAUUGUAAACCUCUUUUGUCGGGGAACAAAGGCUCCCACGGGUGGGCUGAUGCGUGUACCCGACGAAAAAGCAUCGGCUAACUCCGUGCCAGCAGCCGCGGUAAUACGGAGGAUGCGAGCGUUAUCCGGAUUUAUUGGGUUUAAAGGGUGCGUAGGCGGUGAGUCAAGUCAGCGGUAAAAAUGCGGUGCUAAACGCCGUACAGCCGUUGAAACGGGCAGGCUGGAGUGGGCGAGAGGGGGGCGGAAUGCGGGGUGUAGCGGUGAAAGGCAUAGAGAUC
rnacentral:rRNA from 1 species